rnacentral:misc_RNA from 1 species
UAUCCAUUCCGACAUCGACGGAAUGGCGAGAGCGACACAACCACCAACGGUUACGGAGAAUCGAGGAGAAAGCCUCGCGCUUCAGCGCGGGGAGGAUGUCAACCAGAUGAUC